AACACAAUGAUGAUAUUGAGGAUUUUGGCAGUGGCGACAUCAGUUGCCAUGAGAUUUCAAUCCAAAAAAACGACUUCUCUUUCCACUGAGCAUU
rfam:Leersia perrieri chromosome 2, whole genome shotgun sequence.